rnacentral:rRNA from 1 species
AGUGAACGCUGGCGGUAGGCCUAACACAUGCAAGUCGAACGGCAGCACAGUAAGAGCUUGCUCUUACGGGUGGCGAGUGGCGGACGGGUGAGGAAUACAUCGGAAUCUACUUUUUCGUGGGGGAUAACGUAGGGAAACUUACGCUAAUACCGCAUACGACCUACGGGUGAAAGCAGGGGAUCUUCGGACCUUGCGCGAUUGAAUGAGCCGAUGUCGGAUUAGCUAGUUGGAGGGGUAAAGGCCCACCAAGGCGACGAUCCGUAGCUGGUCUGAGAGGAUGAUCAGCCACACUGGAACUGAGACACGGUCCAGACUCCUACGGGAGGCAGCAGUGGGGAAUAUUGGACAAUGGGCGCAAGCCUGAUCCAGCCAUACCGCGUGGGUGAAGAAGGCCUUCGGGUUGUAAAGCCCUUUUGUUGGGAAAGAAAGGCAGCAGGUUAAUACCCCGCUGUUCUGACGGUACCCAAAGAAUAAGCACCGGCUAACUUCGUG